ACCUUUCUCCAAACAACGUUGCCACACGCGGAGAGCACGGAGAUUUCUGGGGCUUUGGAGGGAAUCGUGAGCGGGCGGGAGGAGGCCGGGGACCACACAGAGAAUAACUUGUCUGACUACCAGUAUUCUUGGAUGCAGAAGUGCUGAAGAUGAGCACACACACGUACGGAGAAUUUCUGGAGAAUUCAGCUGCUCAGAACAAGAACUGAGAUCCAGAGAGAUGAUGACUUUGCCCAUAGACCAAACAAAGAAAUACAUGUUUCAGUCCUGUGUCCUCCUGCUAUGUGUGUCCGGAAUUGGUGGGUUCUUGGUCUCACUGACUUCAAGAAUGAAGCUGCGGACCCUCGCGGACCGUGUGUGAAUGCCUGCUCUGUGAGCCCUCAGAAUCUACUGGCUGAAUGAGUGCGUGGAGGAAAUGUGCUCAGAGCUGCUGUGUGUCAUCCUGUGUUUGAAGUGCUCCUGCAGCUAUCAUUCAUCCAGUUAAGAAUUUGAAGAAGUGUGUGCACAAAGCUCACAGGAUAUCGGCCAUGUUAAUGAGUCUGAUGUUGCUAGUAUCACAGGCACCGGAAAAUAUGCACAUUAUGCUGGAGCAUUAGAAUGCAACAGAAAGAGCCCUGGGCUUGGAGUAUGCAGAACUGGUUCUUGUUACAACUCCUCUUACUAGUGGGCUGCUAUGGACCUAAAGUGGAGGGCUUUGAAAUUUCCUGCUUAAUUGGGCUGCAUGUCAUUGCUGUCCUUAGAAGUUGCUCUGGGAUGCAGCUCUGGAAGAAAACACAUUGAAUUCAUGAUCAUGGUUAACCUUUGGAGAGAGAGAGGAGACCAGGAUGAAGGAGCCAGUCGAAGAUCCUGUUCAAGUGUACACUGAGCCAGCAGGUUCACCAGAAAGCUAUUGAGCGUUUGCUGGAACACAUUAUGCAGGGUGAAUUUCUUCUGGAAUGUUGCCAAGGAUUUUUUAUGCUUCUGUGGCAGGCAUUUCUUGAACAUUGUCAUUUAGCCAAGCAAAGAAGAUUUUCUUAAAGGAUAGAAAAUGUUUAAAAAUUUUUGUUUGUUUGAAGAUAGGUUAAAUGGCUAUAUGAUCUCAGGAUAAGACAGAGAAAAUCACUUAUUUCUCUAAGUGAUCUGAUUAGGUUAGUGAUGUUUUGCCUUUAAACAGAUUCAUCAUUAUUCCUAAAGUAUUGCUGUAUUAAUACUGUCUUCUAGAAAGUAUCCACCAGUGCCUACUUUUCUUCGAUAUCAUUAGCUGUUUUUCGAAACUGAAUUUGCUCUUCAGAGAUUUCUCAUAUGUUUGCGUAUAAGGAACUACUGGUAAUAGCCAAGAAAAUUUGGAGGUGCAGAGAACAUGCUGAAACAGAAUUUUUCACUUUCAAUUCUAGAACUAUGCCAUAAAAAAAAA
rnacentral:lncRNA from 1 species